rnacentral:rRNA from 1 species
UCAAGAAAAGAAUUUAAGUUCACCUAAAGUUACAACAAUUUUCACAAAAAAAACAUUAACUUUAGAGUUAUUCAAACAAGGUACAGCUUAUUUGAACCAGGACACAACCUACUCCAAUGGGUAACUCAAGGACUUACACAACUAAGUAGGCCUAAAAGCAGCCACCUUAAAAAGCGUCAAAGCUUACCUGUUUUUUCCUCCAAUCCCCCUAAUUUUAACUAACCCUUCAACUUUACUGAAUACUUCUAUAUCUUUAUAGAACUUUUUAUGUUAAAACUAGUAAUAAGAAGAAGCCCUUCUCUCCAAUGCAAACUUAAAUCAUAAUAACCCGAAUGACAAUUAAUAGCUUAAAAUAGUAACUUCACCAGAAAACUCUAUACUCCACCCUAUUAACCUAACACAAGAGCAUCAAAAGAAAGAUUAAAAGAAAAAGAAGGAACUCGGCAAAUAUAGACCCCGCCUGUUUACCAAAAACAUCGCCUCCCGAAACCAUGGGAGGUCCAGCCUGCCCAGUGACUCUGUUCAACGGCCGCGGUAUCCUAACCGUGCGAAGGUAGCGUAAUCACUUGUCUUUUAAAUAAAGACUAGUAUGAAAGGCACCACGAAGGUCUAACUGUCUCCUUUUUCCAAUCAAUGAAACUAAUCCCCUCGUGAAAAAGCGAGAAUUAAUCUAUUAGACGAGAAGACCCUAUGGAGCUUUAAACACAAUAAUUUUGCUGUCCCCCCUUCCCUUCCAGAACUUUCCCUUCCCCCAGCAAACAAUUAUUAGUUUUAGGUUGGGACGACCACGGAGAAAAACUUAUCCUCCACGUUGAACCGGAUUAUAUCCUAAUCAACAAGCUACAACUUUAUGAAUCAAUAAAUUGACCUCCAUUGACCCAAUAUAUUUGAUCAACGAACUAAGUUACCCUAGGGAUAACAGCGCAAUCCGCUUUAAGAGCCCCUAUCGACAGGCGGGUUUACGACCUCGAUGUUGGAUCAGGGUAUCCUAGUGGUGCAGCCGCUACUAAAGGUUCGUUUGUUCAACGAUUAA